CCCGUUGAAAAUGAGGAUCUCAUUCUCUAUAUCUUAGGGGGACUUGGGCAUGAAUACAGCCCGUUCGUAACCUCUAUUACCACACGAGAUGCACAAGUUCGACU